CAGCAGUGUGGAGGUAUAAGCUGAAUAAACCCUUUCCUCCCCAACUUGCUUCUUUGUCAUGAUGUUUAUGACAAAGACAGAAGAGUGAGUGUCACCUUUUGGAGGUAUGGCCUUGUUGGAAUAGCUGUGAUCUGGUUGGAAUUGGUGUGGUUGGAGGUGGGUUUAGUACUCUCACCCUAGUGCCUGGAAGUCAGUCUUCCACUAGAAGCCUUUGGAUGAUGACAUAGAACGCUCAACUCUGCCUGAACCAUGCCUGCCUGGAUACUUCCAUGCUCCCACCUUGAUGAUAAUGGACUGAACUUCUGAACAUAGGUAUGGUGUGUUCCUUGGAUGCAGCAGAAGGGUGGAGACAUAACGUCCAUUUGAUUGUUCUUGUGUUUGUUCCAGUGGUAUCCAGACGUCUGCAUUUGGAAUGAUUGUCAUUCAAGAACAUUGGGAAUCCAACUGAGGGACCAUGAUCUAAGUGGUAUUGCCUCUGGGAUUGCUGCUGACUCUCAGGAGGGAUGAGGAGCCUCAGCCAUCACUGGAAGCUGAUGACAGUGACAGAAAACACACAUAGACUUUCAAAGACAUGCAACAAACAAAAGUCACCAAACAUUUUGGAGAAUAUAGUCUAACUACGGACACUGAAAUUACAAAAAGAAAACAAGCAGCUGAAAAUUGGAACACACAGAGCAACUCCACUGUGAGUAAUUCAGUAAUAUAUUGUAUUCAAAAAAGAUGGUCUGGAUGCAAACUGAAUAAAAUUAAAGAACAAAAUAGUGAGUGGAAGGAGAAAAUUGAGACUUUCCUCAUCUUCAGCAUUAAAGGGAAGAAGCAUGCAGAGAAGGACAUGAAUGGACACCUUCAUCAAUCUUUCCAUUUGGAAGUACAAGGGUGAUCUGUUGUCUAGAGUUCAGUUGCCAUCAACACAAAGACAAAUGAAAGUAUGGAACCACAUAUACAAAAUUUUAAGUUUGCAAGGCAAUACUAUAAAAAUGUAAAUAGGUAUAAAUUUGUGAUAUUUCAAAACUAGGUACAUGAG